AAAAAGGUAAACCCUAUGUUUCCGUGUCCAACUUGACUGUUCGUCUUAUAUGAAAUUUUUUAUAAUUCGUAUUUUGAUUGUUGUUAGAUGCAUAAACAUGAUUAAUAUUUUAUGCAUGACUUGUCUUUUUAAUUUUUUCAUAAUUUUUUUAAAUAAGACGGACAGUCAAAGUUGGGCACAGAAAUCAGGGUUUGUCUUUUU
rfam:Oryza sativa Japonica Group DNA, chromosome 12, cultivar: Nipponbare, complete sequence.